rnacentral:rRNA from 1 species
GUGGGGAAUAUUGGGCAAUGGGCGAAAGCCUGACCCAGCAACGCCGCGUGAAGGAAGAAGGUUUUCGGAUCGUAAACUUCUAUCCUUGGUGAAGAUAAUGACGGUAGCCAAGAAGGAAGCCCCGGCUAACUACGUGCCAGCAGCCGCGGUAAUACGUAGGGGGCAAGCGUUGUCCGGAAUGAUUGGGCGUAAAGGGCGCGUAGGCGGCCCGGUAAGUCUGAAGUGAAAGUCCUGCUUUUAAGGUGGGAAUUGCUGUGGAUACUGUCGGGCUUGAGUGCAGGAGAGGUAAGCGGAAUUCCCGGUGUAGCGGUGAAAUGCGUAGAGAUCGGGAGGAACACCAGUGGCGAAGGCGGCUUACUGGACUGUAACUGACGCUGAGGCGCGAAAGUGUGGGGAGCAAACAGGAUUAGAUACCCCAGUAGUC